rnacentral:tRNA from 1 species
UCCCUGGCUCCAGUGGUUAGGACUUGGCACUUUCAAUGCUGUGGCCCAGGUUCAAUUCCUGGUCAGGGAA